rnacentral:lncRNA from 1 species
UGUGAGGGAGAUCACAACUGUGUCAUCAUUAUCCGUGCAGGUGAUGACGACUGUGUCAGUGAUUGUGCAGAUGGUGACGACUGUCAGUGACUGUGCAGGUGAUGACGACUGUGUCAGUUACUGUGCAGGUGAUAACGACUGUGUCUUCAUUAUCCGUGCAGGUGAUGACGACUGUGUCAGUGACUGUGCAGGUGAUGACGACUGUGUCAUCAUUAUCCGUGCAGGUGAUGAUGACUGUGUCAUUGACUGUGCAGGUGAUAACGACUGUCAGUGACUGCAGGUGAUGACGACUGUCAGUGACUGCAGGUGAUGACGACUGUGUCAGUGACUGUGCAGGUGAUAACGACUGUGUCAUCAUUAUCCGUGCAGGUGAUAACCACUGUCAGUGACUGUACAGGUGAUGACGACUGUCAGUGACUGUGCAGGUGAUGAUGACUGUGUCAUCAUUAUCCGUGCAGGUGAUGACCACUGUGUCAGUGACUGCAGGUGAUGACAACUGUCAGUGACUGUGCAGGUAAUGACGACUGUGUUAGUGACUGCAGGUGAUGACGACUGUCAGUGACUACAGGUGAUGACGACUGUCAGUGACUGUGCAGGUGAUGACAACUGUCAGUGACUGCAGGUGAUAACGACUGUCAGUGACUACAGGUGAUGACAACUGUCAGUGACUGUGCAAGUGAUGACGACUGUCAGUGACUGUGCAGGUGAUGACGACUGUCAGUGACUGCAGGUGAUAACGACUGUCAGUGACUACAGUUGAUGAUGACUGUGUCAGUGACUGCAGGUGAUGACAACUGUCAGUGACUGUGCAGGUGAUGACGACUGUCAGUGACUGCAGGUGAUAACGACUGUCAGUGACUACAGUUGAUGACGACUGUGUCAGUGACUGCAGGUGAUGACGACUGUCAGUGACUGUGCAGGUGAUGACGACUGUCAGUGACUGCAGGUGAUAAUGACUGUCAGUGACUACAGUUGAUGACGACUGUGUCAGUGACUGCAGGUGAUGACAACUGUCAGUGACUGUGCAGGUGAUGAUGACUGUGUCAGUGACUGCAGGUGAUGACGACUGUGUCAGUGACUGUACAGGUCAUUUAUGACCUAUAGCAUCCGAUGGAUCUUCCGCUUGUCUACUCCAGAAUUUUUCAUUACACAAGCAGAUACUCAACCCUCACCUGAAAAUGUAUCUGGACCACAUGAUGAAUGAUUUCAAGUUACUGAUGUGUUUAUUAAGAAAGCAUUGUGAAAGUGAACUGUACCAUGAUGCGACUGUAACUAUGGAAACCAGCCCUAGGUGCCUACCGACAUAUUCCGUGCAGGGAUGUCCUGCAGUGCGGUGGAGAACUGUGAUCAGAUAUGAUUGCCAAUGCUGAAGUUCUCGAUAUUUUAUACUACUGAUAUGCUUCUGUUGCAAAAAAAAUUAUUUUUUUGCUCAUCAUAGAAUUUGUUGUACAUUAGUAGUGAUAGGUAUUGUUAGAUAUAUCAUUUGUAGAACAGAAAACAUUUGUGUUAUUUUGUUACAAGCAAAUCUCUUGUUAAAGAUUUAUUUGUUAGAUUGUUAGUUUUGAAAAAAACAACGGUAUACUUAUUCAGCUGAAACCUUUCUUGAGGAUCUUUAAAGAAAAAUAUGCCACACAAUGUGAUAAUGUAUAAAAAAAAACUAUGUAUUUAUUUCAUUUGUAUUUAUGAAACAGCAAAACAUUCUUUACUUCAUUGAUGAUGAUGAUGAUGAUGAUGAUAGGUUUGUGUUUACAUUGUUACCAUGGUUACCACAAGGAUGUGAUAUUUAUUGGUUUAUUUUUGCAUUUCAUUCAUUGAGGGAGGACUGUAAUGUUGUUUCACUGUAAUUUGAAAUGAAACUAUCAUCAAUGUUGAAUUGUUACCUUGAGAAUGUUCAACUGGACAUGGAAUUAAAUGACACGCAGUCAUGAUGGCGCACCAAGGCUAAUCAUUCAAAGUGUGCAUGAUCUUUGAACAAAUGUGUGUGGCUGUUGCACAUGGUGACAGAGAGCCCAAAUAUGUGUGUAUAAAAACACAAACAUUCCAGGUGAAUUGAUCAACAUAUUUGGGUAAAAUUGCCUUUGAUUUUAACGAAAACAUCAUCUACAGAACCAUUGAAGUACAGUUGAUUCCAUUCGUAUGUUUCUUUGUUCAUAUCCAUUUUUCAUCUUACUCUUUCUUAGUUUUUAGCUCACCUGACUGAAAGUCCAGUGAUCUUAUGUCCUGACCUGUUUGUCUGGCACCCAGCCUCGGUCGUCUGUCGGGCAGUGUAAACAUUUUAUCAUAAACCACUGGACCAAUGAAGCUGAAACUUCACCUACUUGUACCCACCAAUGAUGACGCCUCAAUUUGUUCAAAAGGUUUUAAUCCGAUUUUCUACAUGGCCGCCACUGCAGCCAUAUUGUAAAACCUGUUUAUCUCCAUUUCUCGGCUAUUUCUUAUCUAAAUGUACAGAAAUUUGGUAUGUAUGUAGUUAGUUGUGGGUUUAAAAAGUAAUAAAAAUCAUAUGGUGUUCAUAUCAUUGGGAUUUCGCUGUGUUUUUGUGAAAUAAUUCGUAUUGAAAGUAAUCUCCUUAAAAGGAAAAUAAGGCUUUAAAAUAGUACAUUCAUUCAUCCUGUUUGCAUUGUGGAAAUUUGGUUCCUUGUUUCAUAUUUGUUAAUUCUUUUGGCCUUUGAAUUUCUGCAGAAAAUAUUUGAAUAGCAAAGCAGACAGCUACUGUUGUUUCGUGGCUGUCAUUGUUAACUGAAGAUGACAUAUCCAGGUGAGCUACAGUACCAUGGCAUUAUUUUUGCAUAUCUGUUUUAGACACAGCUGAUGAAGGAAAAUUUAAUUUUAAGUGUUAUGUCACAAAGGUGCUUUUUGAGUAACAUAUUAAUGUUUUAAUAUUUCCAUAAAUUCUAAACAUCACACCAUGUACACAUAACAUCAUUCCUAAUAAAUUCUCUCAGCUUGUCAACCGAAAUAUAUUUUACAAAAUUAAUAAAUAAAUGCAGGUAUGUAGUGAAUACUAUGUUUUCUGUUGCAUACUGGAACUGUAUCAGAAGAUGGACCCUUAAAUUAUAAUCCUGUUAAACUGGAUAUUAUUUGUGACAAAGGGUAUGCAAUGACUCGACUGAACUACAAUGCGAUCGUUUAUUUUGUUUCUUUUCAUCUUGACAACUGUGCAUGUGUUCAUCAUGUUAAUUACUUUUGGAUCUUUGACCUCUAAGGUCACAGUAAGAUCUCGUGCAAUAUCUUUUCCUGUGCAAUUGAUCAUGUUGAUUAAAUAUUUAAUCUGCAAACUGCCUAUCUUUGUACUGAUCGGCUUUAAAAAUCAUUAAAGGUGCAGUGUUUUAUCA